rnacentral:rRNA from 1 species
AGUGAACGCUGGCGGUAGGCCUAACACAUGCAAGUCGAACGGCAGCACAGUAAGAGCUUGCUCUUACGGGUGGCGAGUGGCGGACGGGUGAGGAAUACAUCGGAAUCUACUUUUUCGUGGGGGAUAACGUAGGGAAACUUACGCUAAUACCGCAUACGACCUACUGGUGAAAGCAGUGGAUCUUCGGACCUUUCGCGAUUGAAUGAGCCGAUGUCGGAUUAGCUAGUUGGCGGGGUAAAGGCCCACCAAGGCGACGAUCCGUAGCUGGUCUGAGAGGAUGAUCAGCCACACUGGAACUGAGACACGGUCCAGACUCCUACGGGAGGCAGCAGUGGGGAAUAUUGGACAAUGGGCGCAAGCCUGAUCCAGCCAUACCGCGUGGGUGAAGAAGGCCUUCGGGUUGUAAAGCCCUUUUGUUGGGAAAGAAAAGCAGCAGGUUAAUACCCCGCUGUUCUGACGGUACCCAAAGAAUAAGCACCGGCUAACUUCGUG